CAGAGGAUGAUGUGGAGGUGACGAUGAGGAGGAAGCUGGUUUGAAGGUCACCAGUGGUGCUCUCUGGCAGGACCAACUACCUGCUGAGGUUUCUGCCCUGGGGGAGGUACCACCUGACCUUGAUUACUUUUAACAGCAUCCGUCCACAGCCAAUCCUGUAAACCCUGAAGAUGGACGAUGCAGUCUACAGUGAAGAUGAUCCUGAAACUCUGCAGACCAUCCUGCAAGAUGUUCCAGUCACCACCCAGAAAGUUCUAUCCCUGCGUCUCAGUUGAAGCAUCUCAUCCAUGUCGUCCAUCUUUGUAAAUAGUGUUACAAUGAAUGACGAUUACUGUGUUGGAUUUAUACCUUUAUUUAUAUUUAAAAAACAAACAUUUUAAUGAAUCAAAUAUAAACUUCAUUUAUUCUCAGAAAUCAAAUGUGGUUAUUUGUUGGCAUUUCUUUCCAGGAGACUAUAAAGUUGGUCAAAAGUCUCCCUCCUCUCUCGUGCGCUCUGCUCUUCUGCCUCAUGUCCUCUCUGAUCAGGUCUAGAAGCUCAUCAAUAGUCGCGUUUCCAUUAACUCUGAAAUUUUGCAAAUUGGAAUUUUGAUACAUUCUCCUAAUGGAAACCACAAUUCUGAGAAA